UACGUAGGGGGCAAGCGUUGUCCGGAAUUAUUGGGCGUAAAGCGCGCGUAGGCGGCCUGGUAAGUCUGGUGUGAAAUCCUGCGGCUCAACCGCAGACUAUCACUGGAUACUGUCAGGCUUGAGUCCGGAAGAGGAGUGUGGAAUUCCUGGUGUAGCGGUGAAAUGCGCAGAUAUCAGGAGGAACACCGGUGGCGAAGGCGGAUCUCUGGGCCAUUACUGACGCUGAGCCGCGAAAGCGUGGGGAGCGAUCCGG
rnacentral:rRNA from 1 species